AGUUAAACAGUACGUGAAAUUGUUGAAAGGGAAACGAUUGAAGUCAGUCAUACCAACGGGAAAUCAACCUUUUGAGCUCGGUCUCGUGGGUUUUGAAGAGUUUCAAAGCCUUCGGAUUCGCGGGAUUGGGAUCUCUUGGCGUACUUUUUCGUACGGUUAGUCAACAUCGGUUUUGAAUGUCAUAAAAUGACUGGAGGAAUGUAGCUUCGAUCUCGUAUUGAAGUGUUAUAGCCUUUGGUAGAUGUGAUGUUUGAGACCGAGGAUUGCAACGGAUACCCUUCAGGGCUAUUCGUCUGAUCUCUGAUACGUUGCCCUGAUGUUGAAAGCUUGCUUAUGAUGUUAGGGUAUUACGGUCAAAAGGUUAGAACGAAUUACAUUCGUUAAGGAUGUUGACGUAAUGACUUUAAA
rnacentral:misc_RNA from 1 species